AUUGAACGCUGGCGGCAGGCCUAACACAUGCAAGUCGAGCGGAUGAAGGGAGCUUGCUCCUGGAUUCAGCGGCGGACGGGUGAGUAAUGCCUAGGAAUCUGCCUGGUAGUGGGGACAACGUUUCGAAAGGAACGCUAAUACCGCAUACGUCCUACGGGAGAAAGCAGGGGACCUUCGGGCCUUGCGCUAUCAGAUGAGCCUAGGUCGGAUUAGCUAGUAGGUGAGGUAAUGGCUCACCUAGGCGACGAUCCGUAACUGGUCUGAGAGGAUGAUCAGUCACACUGGAACUGAGACACGGUCCAGACUCCUACGGGAGGCAGCAGUGGGGAAUAUUGGACAAUGGGCGAAAGCCUGAUCCAGCCAUGCGCGUGUGUGAAGAAGGUCUUCGGAUU
rnacentral:rRNA from 1 species